rnacentral:tRNA from 1 species
CGGAUGUAUCCUAGUGGAUCAAGGCAGU